CUGCCCUCAAGCACGGCUUGUGUGUUGGGUGUGGUCCCCCCGGGGACCUACCUGAAAGGCAGUGGCGGCGCCCGCCUAGGUCCUCGAGCGUAUGGGGCUUUGUCACCCGCUCGGGAAGGAUCUACGGGUGUUGGUCUUCCAUAUUUUUUCCAC
rnacentral:misc_RNA from 1 species